rnacentral:siRNA from 1 species
GGGUGGUUGACUAUAAUACAUGUA